CUGUGAUCUGGUCGAGGGCGGCGGCGGUCUCUUCCAGCGAGGCGGCCUGCUGUUCCGUGCGGCGCGACAGG
rnacentral:tRNA from 1 species